AUACGGAGGGUGCAAGCGUUAUCCGGAUUUAUUGGGUUUAAAGGGUGCGUAGGCGGAAAUAUAAGUCAGUGGUGAAAUCUUGCAGCUUAACUGUAAAACUGCCAUUGAUACUGUGUUUCUUGAGUAUAGUUGAGGUAGGCGGAAUGUGUAAUGUAGCGGUGAAAUGCUUAGAUAUUACACAGAACACCGAUUGCGUAGGCAGCUUACUAAACUAUAACUGACGCUGAGGCACGAAAGCGUGGGGAGCGAACAGGAUUAGAAACCCCAGUAGUCC
rnacentral:rRNA from 1 species